UUUCCAUCACCAAACCUGACAAGAAUAUUGAAGGAGGUGACAGAGGGAGGAAUGGACCUCUUGCUUGACAUUCAGGUCAGUCUCCAGCCCUAUCCCAUUAAUGAUCAUAUUAAAGACAUCCACAAGACACACAGAUGUGGUGUUUU